GCAUUGAACAACUACUAACAGUGAUGCAAAUGAAAGUUUUGUUUUGCAGAAUUUUGAUGAAUCUUGGUAAAAGAUCACAAGGAAACAAAUCUACUAGGUGCUGUGAACACCCGUCGGUGUUGAAGUCCACGCAGAGCUUAGAUAGAUUCUAGCUUGUUAGAAUUGCUUGUGUACUUAAGUAUUUUCUUUUGUUCAUGAUAACUUUGCCCCUCUUUUGCAUGUACGUACAGUUUAGUUGUAAAGACCAAUUUCCCAAUCUUUCCGUUGUAAAGACAAAUUUCGCUUGAUUAAUACUCCCUCCGGUCCUAAAUAUAAGACAUAUAAUUUCUGGCA